GACGAACGCUGGCGGCGUGCCUAACACAUGCAAGUCGAACGAAGUGGCGAACGGGUGAGUAAUACGUGGGUAACCUGCCCUCCCUUUUGGGAUAAGCCUUGGCAACGGGGCCUAAUACCGAAUAAUGGGGGAUGGGCUCGGGGCCUAUCAGUGUGUUGGUGGGGUAAUUGCCUACCAAGGCGGUGACGGGUAGCCGGCUUCAGAGGGUAACCGGCCACAUUGGGACUGAGAUACGGCCCAUACUCGUACGGGAGAGAGCAGUGGGGGAUAUGGAAGAAUGGGCGAAAGCCUGAUGCAGCGAGGCCGCAUGGGGGAUGAGGGCUUUCGGGUUGUAAACCUCUUUCGCAAUAGAACGGGUAGCUAGAGAAGAAGCGCCGGCUAACUACGUGCCAGCAGCCGCGGUAAUAC
rnacentral:rRNA from 1 species